UGAGGAAUAUUGGUCAAUGGACGAGAGUCUGAACCAGCCAAGUAGCGUGAAGGAUGACUGCCCUAUGGGUUGUAAACUUCUUUUAUACGGGAAUAAAGUUAGCCACGUGUGGCUUUUUGUAUGUACCGUAUGAAUAAGGAUCGGCUAACUCCGUGCCAGCAGCCGCGGUAAUACGGAGGAUCCGAGCGUUAUCCGGAUUUAUUGGGUUUAAAGGGAGCGUAGGCGGACGCUUAAGUCAGUUGUGAAAGUUUGCGGCUCAACCGUAAAAUUGCAGUUGAUACUGGGUGUCUUGAGUACAGUAGAGGCAGGCGGAAUUCGUGGUGUAGCGGUGAAAUGCUUAGAUAUCACGAAGAACUCCGAUUGCGAAGGCAGCUUGCUGGACUGUAACUGACGCUGAUGCUCGAAAGUGUGGGUAUCAAACAGGAUUAGAUACCCUGGUAGUCCACACAGUAAACGAUGAAUACUCGCUGUUUGCGAUAUACAGUAAGCGGCCAAGCGAAAGCGUUAAGUAUUCCACCUGGGGAGUACGCCGGCAACGGUGAAACUCAAAGGAAUUGACGGGGGCCCGCACAAGCGGAGGAACAUGUGGUUUAAUUCGAUGAUACGCGAGGAACCUUACCCGGGCUUGAAUUGCAACUGAAUGAUGUGGAGACAUGUCAGCCGCAAGGCAGUUGUGAAGGUGCUGCAUGGUUGUCGUCAGCUCGUGCCGUGAGGUGUCGGCUUAAGUGCCAUAACGAGCGCAACCCUUAUCGAUAGUUACCAUCAGGUUAUGCUGGGGACUCUGUCGAGACUGCCGUCGUAAGAUGUGAGGAAGGUGGGGAUGACGUCAAAUCAGCACGGCCCUUACGUCCGGGGCUACACACGUGUUACAAUGGGGGGUACAGAAGGCAGCUACACGGCGACGUGAUGCUAAUCCCGAAAGCCUCUCUCAGUUCGGAUUGGAGUCUGCAACCCAACUCCAUGAAGCUGGAUUCGCUAGUAAUCGCGCAUCAGCCACGGCGCGGUGAAUACGUUCCC
rnacentral:rRNA from 1 species